AUUUACCAGAAUGAAUUUACCAGUAAAUACAAAAAUGUGCUGUUCACACAUGCAGUGACGUUCCGUCUUUUUACCAGUAAGACAUCAUUCACACAUCAGUAUCAAAAUACCGGUAAACUCGGAGAGAAAGCGGAAGUUACCUGUGGCGCGCGGCCGCCGAGCUCCGUCCGUGUUGUAUUUGUAAACAAUGGCGAGUUAUGACUUAAUAUCCACGGUCCGUAUUUUGUUGUUUUCACAUCUGUGGUAAACGGUCGCGAAGUUGCUCGUGACAAAACAAAUUGCGUUAGGCGGCGUCAAACUGAACCUGCGUUUGGACAUUAGGCUUCACAGAUGGUGUGCUAAGGACGUCAGCAAUAUAGCAAAUGGAUGGUUGGUUGGGGGCCCCAAGCAGCCACCUAGCUAUGCCUCUAUGUUAAGACCACCUCUGACUAUACUGGGGUCUUUUUAGGACCCACACAGACCACAGGGUGAGCUCUCCCUGCUGGUCUCACAAACACCAAAAGAACAAUGAUAUCGCAGAGCUUCAUGGUUGAGUUUGGAUCGAUCAAAAAUCCAGGAUAAAGUGGUUUAGUGAAUGUGGUGUUGACUCUGUGUAUGAGGUUUAUUGUAUCAGAGAUGCUGUAGAAGGACAGAGAUCCUGUACUGUG